CUUAUUGCAAAUACAGAACAAAAAUAAAGGAUCUGUCAUCUUGAUAGAGAUGGUUUUACCCCGUCAGAUAUUAUUUUCUAGUAUCUGGAGCACGGAAUAUAUAAAAUAGAUUUUAUAAAGUAUUAGAACUAUGAUUCAUACUUAAUAUUUCGACCUCGCAACCGGACUUUAAUAAAUUUUUAUUAGAAGAUACGUAAGUUAGAAUAAAUAAAAAAAUUUUGAUUCUUUCAAAUAAAAUUGCCACUGUUUGUCUUUUUUUUUUAUCAAAGCAAAAAAAUGUCUUUUGAUUUCUUUUUUCAUUCUAUCCUAUCUAUUUCUUGAAUAAGUGAUAAUCCAGC
rnacentral:lncRNA from 1 species